ACAGAGGGUGCAAGCGUUAAUCGGAAUUACUGGGCGUAAAGCGCGCGUAGGUGGUUUGUUAAGUUGGAUGUGAAAUCCCCGGGCUCAACCUGGGAACUGCAUUCAAAACUGACUGACUAGAGUAUGGUAGAGGGUGGUGGAAUUUCCUGUGUAGCGGUGAAAUGCGUAGAUAUAGGAAGGAACACCAGUGGCGAAGGCGACCACCUGGACUGAUACUGACACUGAGGUGCGAAAGCGUGGGGAGCAAACAG
rnacentral:rRNA from 1 species